GGAGAGGUCGCAUAGCCCGGUCGAGUGCGCUCGCUUGGAAAGCGAGUAGACUGCAAGGUCUCAAGGGUUCGAAUCCCUUCCUCUCCGCCA
rnacentral:tRNA from 1 species